rnacentral:rRNA from 1 species
GGAAAGGCGCGCGAUACAGGGUGACAGCCCCGUACACAAAAAUGCACAUGCUGUGAGCUCGAUGAGUAGGGCGGGACACGUGGUAUCCUGUCUGAAUAUGGGGGGACCAUCCUCCAAGGCUAAAUACUCCUGACUGACCGAUAGUGAACCAGUACCGUGAGGGAAAGGCGAAAAGAACCCCGGCGAGGGGAGUGAAAAAGAACCUGAAACCGUGUACGUACAAGCAGUGGGAGCACGCUUAGGCGUGUGACUGCGUACCUUUUGUAUAAUGGGUCAGCGACUUAUAUUCUGUAGCAAGGUUAACCGAAUAGGGGAGCCGAAGGGAAACCGAGUCUUAACUGGGCGUUAAGUUGCAGGGUAUAGACCCGAAACCCGGUGAUCUAGCCAUGGGCAGGUUGAAGGUUGGGUAACACUAACUGGAGGACCGAACCGACUAAUGUUGAAAAAUUAGCGGAUGACUUGUGGCUGGGGGUGAAAGGCCAAUCAAACCGGGAGAUAGCUGGUUCUCCCCGAAAGCUAUUUAGGUAGCGCCUCGUGAAUUCAUCUCCGGGGGUAGAGCACUGUUUCGGCAAGGGGGUCAUCCCGACUUACCAACCCGAUGCAAACUGCGAAUACCGGAGAAUGUUAUCACGGGAGACACACGGCGGGUGCUAACGUCCGUCGUGAAGAGGGAAACAACCCAGACCGCCAGCUAAGGUCCCAAAGUCAUGGUUAAGUGGGAAACGAUGUGGGAAGGCCCAGACAGCCAGGAUGUUGGCUUAGAAGCAGCCAUCAUUUAAAGAAAGCGUAAUAGCUCACUGGUCGAGUCGGCCUGCGCGGAAGAUGUAACGGGGCUAAACCAUGCACCGAAGCUGCGGCAGCGACGCUGAUGCGUUGUUGGGUAGGGGAGCGUUCUGUAAGCCUGCGAAGGUGUGCUGUGAGGCAUGCUGGAGGUAUCAGAAGUGCGAAUGCUGACAUAAGUAACGAUAAAGCGGGUGAAAAGCCCGCUCGCCGGAAGACCAAGGGUUCCUGUCCAACGUUAAUCGGGGCAGGGUGAGUCGACCCCUAAGGCGAGGCCGAAAGGCGUAGUCGAUGGGAAACAGGUUAAUAUUCCUGUACUUGGUGUUACUGCGAAGGGGGGACGGAGAAGGCUAUGUUGGCCGGGCGACGGUUGUCCCGGUUUAAGCGUGUAGGC